rnacentral:rRNA from 1 species
UGGGGAAUUUUGGACAAUGGGCGAAAGCCUGAUCCAGCCAUGCCGCGUGAGUGAAGAAGGCCUUCGGGUUGUAAAGCUCUUUUAGUCGGAAAGAAAGAGUUGCAAUGAAUAAUUGUGAUUUAUGACGGUACCGACAGAAAAAGCACCGGCUAACUACGUGCCAGCAGCCGCGGUAAUACGUAGGGUGCGAGCGUUAAUCGGAAUUACUGGGCGUAAAGGGUGCGCAGGCGGUCUUGCAAGUCAGAUGUGAAAGCCCCGGGCUUAACCUGGGAAUUGCGUUUGAAACUACAAGACUAGAGUGCAGCAGAGGGGAGUGGAAUUCCAUGUGUAGCAGUGAAAUGCGUAGAGAUGUGGAAGAACACCGAUGGCGAAGGCAGCUCCCUGGGUUGACACUGACGCCCAUGCACGAAAGCGUGGGGAGCAAACA